CUCGAAGCAACGAGAAAAAACUCGAAGUAACGAGAAAAUUAUUGAAAUAACGAGAAAAUUAUUGAAAAAACGAGAAAAUACUCGAAGUAACGAGCACAUAAUCGAAGCAACAAGAAUUGUAGCAGGAAAAAAUAUUUGUGCUACAAAAGUGGCAGCAUUAGGCUUUCGUAAUACAGUAACA